UACGGGAAAAUCACACACACACUUUGGUCCAAUAGAGGAUAUCUAGACCACCAAAUGAACACUGAAUCCCAUCACAAAGUUCAUCGAAAUUACACACUGUCUUUCAGUCCACUCCUGAACCCCAUGCAAGCAGUUUUCCCAGUGAAAAUUUGAUCAGCAAAAUAAUGUUCAGAAAACAGACCACUCACCCGUCAUGUAGCGUGCCUAUCUCCUACGGGGUUGACACGCUUCAUUCCAGGGAUUCCGUGGCCCCGAUUGGGCGGAUGACGUCACCGCCGUGAGAAGUUCCAUUCUCUGGCCGGGUCUCGGUUGUGGCGUUGGUGGUGCGUGGAUCGAAGCAAAACGGAAUGUGUUGAGCAAGGGGGAGAGGGAGGGGUAGCUGGUAUGAUUUAAAUUCAGUUUAACCUUCACCUGAAAAGCGGUACCUGGGUGCAGAUAGGCUCUUCACAUGUUUGUGAUUGCGAAUAAGUGUUAUAUUAGGGCAUUGUUUUUUUUCGUAAUUUCCAGUUUGUGAUCCUUGUUUGCAUGUCACACCAAUGGAAAAGAAGAUGUGAGUGGGCUAUUAAGCCUAAGUACUGUUUAAACCAACAAAUUGUUCAUUAUAAUUGUGAAUUGUAGUUGUAUUUUAUUAUUAUUUUGUUUAUUAUUUUCACACAAACAUGAAGAUGGUAAUACACGACAUGUCGACGGGGAAAAAUGAGGUAUAAGAACGAGGAAGAAUAUCAGUCUCAACUGCAGGGUAACGACUUCACCAAUGGGAAACGAGCAGGAAGCCAGAGGAAGGAGUGGCUUUGGAUUACUUGGAAUUUACCACCCACCUACCCAUGCACUUAGACUACUGUAAACAUGCAGCCCCUUUAAUUCCCCGAUUCUAAGCUUUAGUUUAUGUGCUGUUGAACAACGGUUGUGACAGAGGGCUGCUGUACAUAGAAGCAAAUGCAAAUAUGUUUAUCGCCAUAUUGAAUAAUUUUUGCCAACACAAAGUGUGGAAUUGAACGAACAAAAAAUUUCCGUCUUUUUUAAAAAUAAAACCUGCAGUUCUUGGGAACCCUGCUGCACGAAAUUGCA